UUUGGAGCCAAGGGAAACCCGGAAGACUGUUUGCCAGGAGACGCAUUUUGCCACAUCAGGGACAGCACCACGUUGCAUUUCAGAAACACGAGCCUGUAGCCCCUGCCCGGCGGUGUGGCCGUCUGAUGGAUAGCUGUGCCCCUCACACCCCUGUUGUGACCCCUGUGCCUCCUGCCGCUGUCGCCUCUUCAACACCAUCUGCCACUGCUGGAGACUGGGCCCACACUGCCCCAAGAAGACCUAGACAACACACACAAACACACAAACACACACACACACACACACACACACACACACACACACACACACACACACACACACACACACACACACACACACACACACACACA